ensembl:lncRNA
UAAAUUCAUCAUAGGUGAUUUAUUUACCAAGUCCUUAUUUACCAGUCCUUAUUGACAGGGUUAUGUCUAUUUUAGCUUAUGCUAUUGCUAUUAUAAAUAAGACAAAAUCUCUAGAGAUAAUUUUGCUUUGUUUCUUUGUUUUCUAAAUUUUUAACCACAAAUAUUUUCUAUCAUCCUAAAACAGUACCUUUAUUUUGAAAAAAUGGAGUAUCCAGGCCACCUCUCUGUUCAGAAUUUCAUUAAAUGCUCUCAAUUCAUUCAUCCAUUCAACAAAUGGGUAUUGACUAUCGACCAUGAGCAAACUGGAUACCUAUAUUCCGGUGGAGAAGAUCAACAUUUAGCCAUAAUAAGCCAGUUAAAAUCACAGCCUCUGAUAAACCCUAUUGAGGAAAUGGGCGAGGUGCUCUGAUCUAGUUGAGAGGUCUGAUUUAGUUUGGGGAGCAUUGUGUCUGAAGGCUGGGCAGUCACUACGAAGAGAAGGUUGAGAGAGAAGGGAAAUGUUCCACAAAGGAUACCUCCAGUGGCUUGGAGCUUCCUAGGGCCAAAGAUAGGCCGGAAAGGCCGGGGUGGAGGAGGGGCAUGGGGAAAGGGACUGGUAGGUCUAGCUGAAAUUCUCAUCAUCCUUUCUUAUCUGUAGGUUAUUAAACAGCCAAUGGGACCACAGGCGACUGCUGGGCCCAGCGCUCGCUCGUGUCUCCCACGUCCACGGCCCAGGCCCACUGGGGACAUCCACAUAAGCACAGUGUGGGCACUCCCUUCUUCUGGCGCUGCUGGUGUUCAUCCAGAGCCUCGCUGGCCUACAGACCUUCUCCACGCUGGCCAACAUUCUCAUGCUUGGAAUCCUUGUCCUCCUCAUCCAGCACCUCUUCCAGGUUCCAUGGUCAUCCUGAUCCCCAAGCUGGACCUAAUCAGGUCUGUAAGCCUCAGUACCCUGGUCGUCUUCAUUCUGUCCCUCCUAGAGAUCACCACCUACCCCUCAGAGAGGGUGAGCACUCUCAUCAUCACCUGGGACACCCUGAUCAGCAUCCUGGGCUUUGUGAGCUUCAUGGUAAGGACCUGCCAAGCCCCUGACAAUCCCAUCCAGCUGGGAGAUGCACUUCCUUUCCCAGCAACACUGGCACUGCGGAAGAAUGUUUUCUACUUGACACUUCUCCCUUCACUCCUUAAAUAUUCUAGCCUUGUCUGAACAAAGAUCCCCCUUUCAUUGCUAAUGUCUAUAUUUUUUAUGAGACCUCCAUAGUACUGGGCAUUUUGUACAUUGCCUGACCCACAGCAAGCCUGGAUCAAUGGUGCCUGCUCCUGGGGUAUUGCUACACCAGAUCUCCUGUAUCACAGAUGUGUCCUCUCAGCUUCCAAGCUGAGAUAUGUUAGCCUGGCUUGAAGAAAAGUAGGUUCCUUUCCUGCCUCUCUGGCCCUCAGAGUAGGAAACAGCAAAAUAAUAAGAAUCACUGAUAUUUGUAGAGCACUUUAUCUUUUCAAAGUAGCUUGUCCACCUACCUUCACUUGUUUUCCACAACACUCAGAGGUGGAUGAUGCUGGACUCUUUAACCAUAUUUGUAAAACUGAGGCAUCUGAGGGUAUGUGGGCUGGCCCAGAUCAGGUAGGAGUAAAUGACAGAGCUCAGUAUUAAAACUCAGAUCUUCUGACCCCAUUUCUGCCCAGCUGCAUGACUUAAGUGACUUUUCUCUGGGAUUCCCCACUUAUAAAAUGGAAGGGUUGGCUAGAUCUCUGAGGACCCAUUCUAAGCCAUCUUUGCUAUGUACACUUCAAAGUCUUCUUAACAAGAGGCAGGCCUCCCCCUCCCUGCCCCCACUUGUUGGAGCCAGCUGUUGCCUUGCCUUCAGCCUUCUGUAGCUCCCUGAACUGGUUGCUUUCCCUGAGCCGAUCAAGUAGAAACAGGAGUGAUAAUGGGUUUGCAAACACUGGUUACCUCAACCAGAU